GAUGAACGCUGGCGGCGUGCCUAAUACAUGCAAGUCGAGCGAACAGACGAGGAGCUUGCUCCUUUGACGUUAGCGGCGGACGGGUGAGUAACACGUGGAUAACCUACCUAUAAGACUGGGAUAACUUCGGGAAACCGGAGCUAAUACCGGAUAACAUGUUGAACCGCAUUGUUCAACAGUGAAAGACGGUCUUGCUGUCACUUAUAGAUGGAUCCGCGCCGCAUUAGCUAGUUGUUAAGGUAACGGCUUACCAAGGCAACGAUGCGUAGCCGACCGGAGAGAGUGGUAGCCGGCCUGGGAGCUGGGACACGCUCCAGGCUCCUACGGGAGGCAGCAGUAGGGAAUCUUACGCAAUGGGCGGAAGCCUGACGGAGCAAGGCCGCGUGAGUGAAGACGGCGUCCGGAUCGUAAAGCUCUGUUACUAGGUAAGAACAAAUUUGGAAGUAAAUGUGCACGUAUUGACGGUACCUAAUCAGAAAGCCCCGGCUAACUACGUG
rnacentral:rRNA from 1 species